rnacentral:tRNA from 1 species
UGCACUUAGAGUUUUGAUCUCUAAAGGAUAGGUUCGAGUCCUAUUUUUUUAGGAA